rnacentral:lncRNA from 1 species
UUUCACCCCAAAAUGUAAUCCCCAAAAUUAAUUAAUUUUGCACCCCCAUUCCUGAGAGCCAUUACCCCAUUUUCUCCCUUUUUCAUCCCAAAAGACAAUCCCAAAAAUUAAUUAAUUUUGCACCCUUACACCUGAGAGCAAUUGGCCCAAUUUCCUCCUUUUUCACCCCAAAAUGUAACCCCACAAAUUAGUUAAUUUUGUACACCUUUACCUGAGAGCGAUUGUCCCAUUUUCCCACUUUUUCACCCCAAAAUGUAAUCCCCAAAAUUAAUUAAUUUUGCACCCCUAUUCCUGAGAGCCAUCACCCCAUUUUCACCCUUUUUUACCCCAAAAGACAAUUUCCAAAAUUAAUUAAUUUUGUACCUCUACACCUGAGAGCAAUUGGCCCAAAUUCUUCCUUUUUCAACCCCAAAAUUCGAGCCCCCCAACCACUUAAUUUUGCACCCCCACCCCAUGCAGCAAUGACCCCAAUUUCCCCUUUUUUCACCCCAAAACAGAAUCCCGACAAUGAGUUAAUUUCUGUCCCCCCCUACCCUGCAGCGAUCGGCCCAAUUUCCUCCUUUUUCAACCCAAAAGCCCCUCCCACCAGCUGUUAACCCCUCUCCUGCCGGCCCAGCAGCAAUCGACCCAUUUCCCCCCUUUUUCACCCCAAAACACAAUCCCCCAAACUAGUUAAUUUUGCACCACCCCGUUGCAGCAAUCGCCCCGAUUUCUCCUCUUUUCACCCCAAAACACAAUCCUGAAAAUUAGCAAAUUUUGCCCCUCCUCUACCUGAGGGCGAUCGGCCCAAUUUCCUCCUUUUUCACCCCAAAACGCCUUCCCACAAAUAGUUAAUCCCGCUCCCUGCCUGCCCAGCGGCAAUCAGCCCCAUUUUCCUCCUUUUUCCCCCCAAAAACACCCCUCCCUCCGCUUAACACCCCAGGCCGCUCCCCGCCAGCGAUUGACCCGUUUUUGCCCUUUUUCACCCCAAAACCAACGGGGAUGGACCCACGAGAGCCCCAGCAGCUCCCUGGCACCCGCAGGCCCCAAUCCGGGCGUUUUUUCACC